UACGGAGGAUCCGAGCGUUAUCCGGAUUUAUUGGGUUUAAAGGGUGCGUAGGCGGCCUUUUAAGUCAGCGGUGAAAGUCUGUGGCUCAACCAUAGAAUUGCCGUUGAAACUGGCGCGCUUGAGUUCAGGCGAGGUAGGCGGAAUUCGUGGUGUAGCGGUGAAAUGCAUAGAUAUCACGAAGAACUCCGAUUGCGAAGGCAGCUUACCAGUCUGCGACUGACGCUCAGGCACGAAAGUGUGGGUAUCGAACAGG
rnacentral:rRNA from 1 species